CCUACGGGUGGCAGCAGUGAGGAAUAUUGGUCAAUGGACGAGAGUCUGAACCAGCCAAGUAGCGUGAAGGAUGACUGCCCUAUGGGUUGUAAACUUCUUUUAUAUGGGAAUAAAAUGUUCCACGUGUGGGAUUUUGUAUGUACCAUAUGAAUAAGGAUCGGCUAACUCCGUGCCAGCAGCCGCGGUAAUACGGAGGAUGCGAGCGUUAUCCGGAUUUAUUGGGUUUAAAGGGUGCGUAGGCGGGCUGUUAAGUCAGCGGUAAAAGCCCGGGGCUCAACCCCGGCGAGCCGUUGAAACUGGCUGUCUUGAGAUGUCGAGAGGUAUGCGGAAUGCGCAGUGUAGCGGUGAAAUGCUUAGAUAUUGCGCAGAACUCCGAUUGCGAAGGCAGCAUACCGGCGGCGAUCUGACGCUGAGGCACGAAAGCGUGGGUAUCGAACAGGAUUAGAUACCCGGGUAGUC
rnacentral:rRNA from 1 species